ensembl:lncRNA SOX9-AS1 SOX9 antisense RNA 1
GGCGGGGGGUGCUGCGGGGAAGGCGGGGGACCCGGGACUUCCAAGUGUGUCUGGUUUCCCGCAGAAUCCAGCCUCUGUCCACGUGAACUCUGCUCUGUCCUCUGGGCUCAUAAUGUUCUGAGACUCUUGCUGCCUCUUUCAUGGAUUCCCCUUCUAUUUCCCUGAGACGACUCACAGGUCACAGAAAGCUGCCUCCCAUCCUUGCGGCUCCAUCAAGGUGCUUUGGAGGCAGGUAAAGCGCAGCCAAAAACAAUCCAUUGAUACACUUGGUGACAUUAAUUGAGAAAAAAACAAUAUGGUCUGGCCAUGGAGGCAUGGUAUCCGUAACAUCCCCCAAAGGAGCUAAAGAAGAAAUCCACAAUUUACCAUGAGCAUUUCUCGUCUGAAGAUUGCCAAGCGAUUCCUCCAGGACAUUCCUCAAGAUCAAUUUCUGUUCAUCCACCUUGUCCUGGGAGGGACAUCAAUGGGUUUCCAUGUCCUUUGGCUUCUGGUUGAGUUCACUCAGUGGAGAACCCUGGCAAGAGGCAGGAAAAGGGGAGGAAGGCUUUAUGAUACAUGUGUUGAAUGUGCAGCAGCCUGACCGGUUUGAAUUUCACCUUCUGUUCACCUUGGAUGAGAGCAGUAAUCAUCACGAUCCCAGGGAACAGCCAAAGGAAGAGAAAAGGCAAAAGAUUUGGACAAGACUCAUGAAGACUAACAGCUCUUGGAUAAUUGAGAGAAGGCAGCUGCGUGAACAGUUUUGAUGCAAUCAUGAAGGCAGGGCCCAGUGCCUGUGGCAUCUGCCUUUUUCUGGAACCAAUCCAUAUUUCCUUGUGGUUUUCUAAGGUGCAGAGAGGGCACAUUGGGAACUUUGCUUGGGGUCUUUUUCACAUCUUAGAGGGAAGGUCCCUCAACAUCUGCAUUGGCGGAGUGUGAUCCUCAUGUCCCUCUGAAUGAUCUGGACUUGAGGUAACCAGCCCCUUCCAGGAAGCUGUCCCAUGAGUGAAGCCUCAGCAGCAGCCUCUGUCAGUCCCUCCCCCACAGAACCUUUGGCUUCCAUUUGACCAGCCUUGACAUCCAGUGUCCAAACACCGAUAAAAUUGAUUCCACUAAGCGUGGGAAAGUCCUGGAGCAUCGAUUGUUUCCUCCUCUGCACCCCCGAUACCCUGGCAUUAGCACUCUCCCAGAAUGUACCUUGCUUGUUUGAUUGGAGGAGGUCAAAGCCCUGAUGAAGAAUGAGUGGAAUUCCACAGGAUUGGAGCAGUCUUGAUAAAUGACAGCAGGGGAUGGUGUGGGGAGGGGAAAGGAUCAGAGGAAGUGUGGAUAAAUGAAUGGCUUAAAAAAUAAUCCACCUUUGCCUCCCCCUUUUCUACCAGUCUGUCUAGUGCUUCAGGGUGAAAAAAAAAAAAAAAA